GUUGCUAUAGUAAUUUCAGCCUGUCUUUUUAGUGUGUGUCCCUGUUGGAUGCUGUUUUGGAUCUGUUUACUGCCCUCCCUGCAGUUUAACAGCAGGUUAUUUGAAGGCUGCGUAUCCUGAGCGGUGAAUUGAUUCUCAGGAACUCAUCUAUCUGCGUUUGGAUCCUCCUUUUUCGUCCUGGGUGAUUAUUGCUGCGAUUCGACUUUUCCCUCGCUGCGCGCCGAGUGAACAACCUCGGCUUACAACUAUUUAAAAGGGGAUUUCUGCUGCUGCCGUUUGGCUUUUGUGAUUUUGUUUUAACUGGUAUUGUCUGGCCUACUGUGGGGUCAAGCAACGUGCAAGUAUCGGGGCUGGCUUAAGGACGACGCGGCCGCUCCUUUUGAGUUUUGCUUCCCUGAAACUUUUAAUAAAGUUUUUCAUUGUUUCUUUUAAGCGGUGUAUAUGGUGAAUCAUAUUGUGCUUCGGUGACCGUCCAUCGUAUUACGGUGGAAUUGUGACCUUAAUCCGCUUUUUCCUUCAUUUAUUUUGCUUUUGGUUUCUUUCAGGAGCUGGGGUCCCACGGGUGAAAGGUCUUUGGUGGUGCUAUUUCUACAUUUGCCGUGCGACACUUUUGACGUGUAUGAGUGGGUGCUCUGAGUUCACGGUGAGGUGUGUGUGUGUGUGUGUGUGUGUGUGUGUGUGUGUGUGUGUGUGUGGAAGUGUGCUUUUUGAUAAUUGGUGCUGAUCACUCCGGUGGGUAACCCCAGCCCUGUAUUUAAUGAUUCUAUUUUGCUUUGUUUAUUUGGAAGUUGUGUAAAUUGGUUGUUUAAUAUUUCGUGUCUGAUUGUUUAUUUUUGUUAUUUGUGUAAUUGUUACCGGACUGUUUUUACCAUUGAGAAUAUUUUCUUUUCGUUCUAUUUUAAUUUCAAGUUUUCAAUAAACUUUGUAUUUUUUAUACGAUG